UAAAUGCUAAAACAUCAACCAUCGUGAGUGAUUCUGUUAAUACUCCCCCCGCCGCCUCCUCCUUCAUUCUAACCCUAAAUCUCUCCACCUCUCCAACACCAAACUGCCACCCCUCCAGCAGCCAGCUCCGGCCCGGCGCACCUCCACGCCGUCAGAGAGAGAACCCUGGCCCGUCGCCCCUCAGUCCUCAAGCACCACGCUGUCGCCCCUCCACAACUUCAAGCCAUCGUCUUCACGGCUCUAGCUUUAGAUUUCAGUAAGUAAAAAGUAGAUCGCCUUUCUCCAAUCUACAACAUAGAUUAUUCAGCAUCAAGUUGUAAUAUGCUAAGUAAUGAAUGUUAAUCGGUUGGAGAUACCAUAUAAAAUAAUGCAAUUGAAGAUACUCCAUCCGAGGAUCCUCAAGACAAAGGAGAUCUAAAAAAGGAGAUCUAAAAAAGAUUAAGCAAGGUAUUGCAUUGAUGUCUACUCAAGAUUCAACAAACUAAUCAAUCUUCCAUUAUUUGUUGAAACUUGGAAGAUAUUGAUGACUUGUCAUGAAUUUCAUUUUAGAUUUAUUUUGAUAUAAUAUGUAGAAACUAUUGAAGACUUAGAAUGGACUUUUUUGUUAUAUUAUGUUGUGGAUUUAGUAACUAGUAUCAUGGAAUUUUAUUAGUUUAUUUUGGUUGACAUUUGUUA